rnacentral:rRNA from 1 species
AAAUAUGACCAACAGACCGAUAGCGAAUAAGUACCGUGAGGGAACGUUGAAAAGCACUUUGGAAAGAGAGUGCAAGAGACCGUGAAACCAAUAUAAUGGAAGCAAACGAUGCUAACGGAUUAGGCUUACAUUCAUCUGCAGUAGGAAUAUUGUGGUGCAUUUGUGAGCUGUGUGCGCUGGGACUAUUGAGUUUGCUGUUUGUAAUGUGCGAGUAUGGACUGGUUUCCAGAUACCUGCGUUCAUGAAGGGCAGUUGAGCUUGGUGGCAUUUGGAGGCGUUUGUGGCUGUGCGUUUGUGUGUAUGAGCUUUCGUUUUGGCACAUGUGUUACUGCGAUUGAUUGUGCAUGCAAGUGUAUGGCUGCCCGUUUCUGAUUCCGGUGUUUAGUUGGCGAACCGUUUGACCCGUCUUGAAACACGGACCAAGGAGUUUAAAGCGUACGCAAGUCAGAAAGUGAAAAACUUAACGGCGUAAUGAAAGUAAGAGGUGUGAGCCUUUUCGGUGUGAUGGUUUGCUUGCAGACUCGCAACACCGCUCCAUGCUGUGACUUCGGUCUGGUGUGGAAGUUGAGCGUACACUUUGAGACCCGAAAGAUGGUGAACUAUGCUCGAACAGGAAGAAGCCAGGGGAAACCCUGGUGGAAGUCCGAAGCGGUUCUGACGUGCAAAUCGAUCGUCUGAUUUGAGUAUAGGGGCGAAAGACUAAUCGAACUAUC